AAAGUCGUAACAAGGUCUCCGUAGGUGAACCUGCGGAGGGAUCAUUAACGAAUGGCCUCUUUUGGCCUUCAACCCUCAAACCAUGUGGAUCAUAAACCCGUGUUUCGGCGACUUCUCUCCGAGAGGUCGCCGCAUUUAUGCUUGAAUGCUUUUGCAUGUCGAUGUUUACAAAAAGAAACAAAACUUUCAACAAAGGAUCUCUUGGCUCUC
rnacentral:misc_RNA from 1 species